GUUGGCCAGUGCCGGCCAGGGCGAGCCGGCCUUCAGUUAGGAGGCGGCGGCGGAAGGAGGAGGAGCUCUGACCACGCUCUCUCCCGGCAGUGGCUGUGACUCUCGGCGCUUGUUGGGUCUCCACCCCUUUUAAAUAAGCCCGGCUGGUCGCCGCCCUCGCACACAAGUCAACUCGGGGGAGGCGGCGGCGGCGCGGCAGCGGGGGUGCGGCCGAGGCCGGAGCCCUGCCCGGGGCAGGGCGGCGGGGCGGGCGGGCGAGCAGCGGGCGAGGCCGCGUCUGCCAGCGCGGUGCAGCCCCGGCACAGCCCGGCGUAGCCCGGGGCUGCCCGUGCCGGCCGCGCCAUUGUUGGGGGAGGGGGCGGCUGUUCGGCGCGGCGGAGUCGGGGGCGAGCCGAGGCGCGGGCGGCGGGCAGCGGCAGAGCGGCGGAGGCGCCCCAUGGGGACCACGCUGAGCUGCUGCGUGUCCCCCAAUGCCAGCCCCAAGCUGGGCCGGCACACCCGGCCGGCGGAGCCAGACUACGAGUCUGAGAUCUACGAGGCGGUGGCCGCGGACACGGUGGCGGUAGCGCCGGCGCCCGCUGCCGUGGAGCCUGUGGAGUUGGAUUUCGGAGCCGGCGAGGGCCACCACCUGCAGCACAUCAGCGACCGCGAGAUGCCCGAAGAUUUAGCUUUGGAAUCAAAUCCUUCUGACCAUCCAAGGGCAAGCACAAUUUUCCUGAGCAAAUCUCAAACAGAUGUGCGAGAAAAGAGGAAGAGCAACCAUUUAAACCAUGUAUCUCCAGGGCAGCUUACUAAAAAGUAUAGCUCAUGCUCAACAAUAUUUCUAGAUGACAGCACAGUCAGCCAGCCUAAUCUUAGAACCACAGUAAAAUGUGUGACCUUAGCAAUAUAUUACCAUAUAAAGAACAGAGAUGCAAAUAGAUCACUGGAUAUUUUUGAUGAGAGGUCACAUCCACUCACACGAGAAAAGGUUCCAGAAGAGUACUUUAAGCAUGAUCCUGAACAUAAAUUUAUUUACAGAUUUGUCCGUACUCUUUUCAGUGCCGCACAGCUAACAGCUGAAUGUGCAAUAGUAACUUUGGUUUACUUAGAAAGGCUUUUAACUUAUGCUGAGAUCGACAUUUGUCCCACUAACUGGAAAAGAAUUGUUUUGGGAGCGAUUCUUCUUGCCUCCAAGGUUUGGGACGAUCAGGCUGUAUGGAAUGUGGACUACUGCCAGAUCCUCAAGGACAUUACAGUUGAGGACAUGAAUGAAAUGGAAAGGCAUUUUUUGGAGCUACUUCAGUUUAAUAUUAAUGUUCCUGCCAGUGUUUAUGCCAAAUACUACUUUGACCUCCGCUCCUUAGCAGAUGACAACAACAUGAAUUUUCUGUAUUCUCCUCUUAGCAAAGAAAGAGCGCAGAACCUAGAGGCCAUUUCCCGAUUGUGCGAAGAUAAAUACAAGGACUUGUGUAGAGCUGCUAUCAGAAGGUCUUUCAGUGCUGAUCAUUUCACUGGUAUUCGGCGCUCUAAUGCUGUCCUCUCCUAAAGGGAGAGGUGAGGGGUUAUAUCACCAUGAACCCUCACCUACAGAGACUGGAAAAAUACCGCCUCUCCUGCUCAAAAACCAGCAAAAGAUGAUCUCUUGCUACGUUACCUAGGUUGGAGUACAGAGGCUGUUCACAGGAAUCUUGCCUGUAAACAAAACAUUUCUGGGACAGGAAUACUUCCUCUCAAUACAGCAAUGCUUCACAUUACAUUGAGUGCUGCAGGUUCCAUCAUCUCUAAAGGACAAAGACAUAAAUGACAAAUAAUGGUAUAUAAAAUAUUACAAUCUACCACCUCAAAAAAACAUUGUUCAGAGCUUGGAGUUUCAAGUAUUGAUUGCAGUUUUAUUUUGAAAAGAAUGCUACAUUUACGUGGUUUUUAUUUCUCAUGUUUAUAUUAAAAGAAAGCUAAUAAACUCUAUUUUAAUUAAAAUAUGGCUAGUGUAUUUGUAACACUUCUAUUCAUAUAGCAUUACAUCUCUGCCUACCUUAAAUGUUUUAAGUCAGUCUUGAUAUAUCUUAAAGUAUUUUUAAACUGACCAUUUAUAACCUGAAGAUAACUUAUUACACUUAAAAAUCACUGGCCAAAAAAAAAAAAAAAAAAAAAAAAAUCAGUGGCCACAGUUCUUAGUGGCACAGUACAUUAAAUGACAUCUUUGAAUAGUUGGUUAUUGUGCCUAAGAGGGAAGAGCACAUUAGAAUUUAAAAUUAGGUAAAAUGUACCAAAGAGGAAGGAAUUACGGGACAAGUAUAGAAUUAGAACAAGAGGUAUUAGGGUUUUAGACAGUUAAACAGGAAAGAGAACAGAGGGACAAGAACUAGAAUUAGGGUUGCUGUACAGAGGGUAACUUAAAACAAGCCACAUAAUUUGACUUUAACAUGCUCUGUUCUUUUCUAAAGACACAGGGCUCUGUUGCCCAGGCUGGAGUGCAGUGGCUAUAGUCAUAGUUCACUGUAACCUCCAACUUCUGGGCCCAAGUGAUCCUCCCACCUUGGCCUCCCAAAGUACUGGGAUUACAGGUAUGAGCCACCGUGCCUGGCCAGCAUGCUGCUUUCAGACGUACGUUUUAGUUAAAAAUACCAAGUCCCUAUUAGGUUUCUUUAGAAAAAAGAAUCUAACCACUUAGCUUCAGCAAUUGUCACUAAAUCCUGACAGUGCCGCGUCGUCAGCCUAACUCACAGCAACCUCAAACUCCUGGGCUUAAGCAAUCCUUCUGCCUCAGCCUCCCUAGU